rnacentral:sRNA from 3 species
UUGCUAUCUGCGAUAUGGAAGAUUCGAACCUGCUGCAGGUUCGGGUCGAACGUAGUGAGACAACGGAGCCGUUUACGGCGACGGCCCGUAGGGCGAGCGAAGCGAGUCAUCCUGCACGACCCACCA